GGAUCCCUUUGGUAGUGAGGAUGAUAAAUGUGAAUCCGCCAUGGAAGACGAUUCCUUGCAGAAGGUUGCGAUUUCAGGCCCAAUCUUAGCCUCUUUGAUCCAACGCUUCUCCUCCUCCUCCGGCGCCGUCGACGGCCUUCUUUUCGGCCAUGUCUCCGACGUUACCCCCUUAUCCCUCUCCGAUGAUUCAUCUUCUUCAACCAACACCGAACCAUCACUACGCGUCGCCACCGUCACCGGAUUUCUCUGCUCCGGUACCACCAAUAGCUUCUACGACUCUCUCGGACGUGUAAACUCGCAAUCGCUUAACCGCCUUCUCGACCGACAUCAGACCGACGGUCAAGCUCAACCCCACGAUUCUUUGCUAGGUUGGUUUGCCGGCCGCCGGAGGACUCAGCUUCGACCUUCCAUGCGUGAAUACUUAGUGAGUUCCUCUUUACCUUCGAUGAAGCCAUUUUCGUUUCCUGUUAAAGACGCUCCCACCAAUAUAAUCCCUAGUGUGUUUCUGCUUCUGACUUCGCCGCUAUCUGAUCAAAUUAUCCACACACACGAGUACCGCGCUUUCCAAUUUCGGUCUUCCAAUGAGUUCUUUGAGCCGAAAUCCAUUGACAUUGUGAAUAUUGGGCCGGCAUUUCGUGGUCACUAUGGAUCGUUUACCCCUAAUUCUCCUUUACCCCAUUUGCUUUGCGAGAUGAGAGCUUCUCCGAUGAAUGAGGAUAAGAAUGAUGAGAAUUUGAAUCUGAUGAAGCAAAACUCGAAAGAUCAGAAGCAAAUGAAUAUGUGCGCUGAAGGGUUUGAGGUUGGGAACUUGACCCGAUUACUGGGUUCUGAGGCAGCAAAUUAUACUGCUGGGUUGGAAGAUUUAUACGAAAAAAUGCUUGCCAAGACUGAGUGCUUGGCGAGGCUCGUUGAGAAGAGUUCUGCUCAGGUUCUUGAACAGGUAUUCAUUCGCUUCUAUAUGAAUGUACCCUUGAGGACUAACAGCUAAGCUACCAAUUAGGUGUGCUUGUUAGGAAAACCACAACAGGAAGUUAAGAUAUAAAGUUGUGAGGUCCCCUGGAUCUGAGUAAGAAAUUUGUUCAUACUACCGGCGUUUUUUUGUUCAUGUUUGAUAUGGUAUCGCUGAUCUAUUGUAUUUGACUCAUUGGCUUUGCAUUUCUAAUUUUUGCUUUCUGGGUUCUAAUGCAAAUUCUUUCGUGUUUUAUUAAGCACCCAGAUAAAUGUACAAGUCACCAAACCAUUGUUUUUAUCCAUGAUGUAGGCAAGAAUCAUUAGGAACCAAGUAAAACUGUUCCAUUUAGGUGAAAAACAAGUAGAGAAACAAGAUCCUGCAACCUCUACUCUUUAUCUAAUUUCUAUUUCUUCAUCUUCAUCUAAGUUUGGGAAGCAGGGAUUGCAAGAAGUCGACCUUGGAAUGAAACCGCAGACUUUUGGCAUCAAGACCUGAAUGCUGCAUGCUGUUGACAAUACAAUGGUGACUUUCUGAGCCGUAUGGAGCUACCAAGCAAUCCUGAGAAGUCCUAGGAAUGGCCCUAAGUUUAGGCAGUUGUUUGUUUUGGUGGACAUCAUCAAAGAUUGAAUGAGUUGUUGUGUAUGAGGUUCUCCUUCUAUAGUGCCAUUCCCUACCUUUUAUCACUUGAAGAACCUACUCUGUCGGAUAUGAUUUCAUAUAUUCCAUACAAAGUGUUCUGUUCUUGA